rnacentral:rRNA from 1 species
GACGAACGCUGGCGGCGUGCUUAACACAUGCAAGUCGAACGGAAAGGCCCUGCUUUUGUGGGGUGCUCGAGUGGCGAACGGGUGAGUAACACGUGAGUAACCUGCCCUUGACUUUGGGAUAACUUCAGGAAACUGGGGCUAAUACCGGAUAGGAGCUCCUGCUGCAUGGUGGGGGUUGGAAAGUUUCGGCGGUUGGGGAUGGACUCGCGGCUUAUCAGCUUGUUGGUGGGGUAGUGGCUUACCAAGGGUUUGACGGGUAGCCGGCCUGAGAGGGUGACCGGCCACAUGGGGACUGAGGGACGGCCCAGACUCCUACGGGAGGCAGCAGUGGGGAGUCUUGCACAAUGGGCCGAAGCCUGAUGCAGCAACGCCGCGUGCGGGAUGACGGCCUUCGGGUUGUAAACCGCUUUCGCCUGUGACGAAGCGUGAGUGACGGUAAUGGGUAAAGAAGCACCGGCUAACUACGUG